UUUUGUUUUAAUUUUGUAUCUUUGUUUAUUUGUUAGGUAGAGACAUCCAGAAAUUGAGAGGGAAGGAGAUAACAGAGAGGGAGAAAGAGAGUCACCUGCAGCCCUGCUUCACCACUUGGAAAGUUUUUUCCUGCAGGCGGGGACUGGGGGCUUGAACCCAGGUCCUUGUGCGUUGUGACAUGCACACCUUCAACCAGGUGUGCCACCACCUGGCCCAUUUGUCUGCGACUUUCAGUUAAGGUGAUGGAUGAAUUCAAAAUGCCAGUUUCCACCGACCCUCCUCGGGGAAGGUUCUCGACCGAGACCUGCACAGCCUCGUGGCGGCAGGAGCCCUGGCUUUGCCGUGUGUCUUCACAGACCCGUCAUCAGUCAGCACAAACCUGUCCCACCACUUUCAAGGGCCGUGGAGCUGGCACCGGCACCUGUGGGCCCAGCUCCAGUUCCUUGUAUUGAUACGAAGUCGUGUCUCCUUGGUGACAAUCAUGUCUGAGCCACGUGGACUUGAAAAGUCACACAUCUGUCAUCGCUGGCACUCGGGCUCACGCCGGCUCUCCCGUGGCUCUCCAGACUGAACCAUCCUGAGGGCCGGGGGCAGGCUCAUGCUGGACACUCAGAUGCCAUGCUGGCACCAGUGCAAGUGUGUGUUUGCUCAGGGAAACAAAUAGUUGCUUUUCUAUAAACGGACUCUGGGCUGCAGAUGCCUUGUAGGGUUAUUGUUGGGGUUCGGAGCCAGCACUUACAAAUCUACUGCUCCUGGUGGCCACUUUCUCCAUUUUAUUGGAUAGGACAGAGACACUGAGAGAGGAAGAAAAGAGAGAGAGAGAUAGACACCUGCAGACCUGCUUCACCACUUGUGAAACUUACUCCCUUGUAGGUGGGGAGUGGGGGCUUGAACCUGGAUCCUUGCCCCAGGUUCUUAACUGGGUGUGCUACCACCUGGCCCCUCAACCCCCUGAUAGUUUCUCUCUCUCUCUCUCUCUUUCUCUGUCUGUCUGUCUCUGUCUGUUUCAAGAUUUUUAUUUAUUCAUGAGAAUUUUAUUCAUGAGAAUGGUAGGAGGAGAGAGAUGAAGAAUCUGACAUCACUCUGGUACAUGUGCUGCCGGGGAUUGAACUCGAGACUUUGUGCCUGAGAGUCCAAUGUUUGACCCACUGUACCACUUUGCAGACCACUGGAUAAUAUUUCUCUCUCGGAGUUGUGAUGAAGGUGAAACACAUGGUGAGUGUGCCUUGCUGUGUUACGAAUAAGGUGCAUGCCUAAUAAAUGCAGACAGACUUCCA